rnacentral:rRNA from 1 species
AUUGAACGCUGGCGGCAGGCCUAACACAUGCAAGUCGAGCGGAUGAAGGGAGCUUGCUCCUGGAUUCAGCGGCGGACGGGUGAGUAAUGCCUAGGAAUCUGCCUGGUAGUGGGGGAUAACGUCCGGAAACGGGCGCUAAUACCGCAUACGUCCUGAGGGAGAAAGUGGGGGAUCUUCGGACCUCACGCUAUCAGAUGAGCCUAGGUCGGAUUAGCUAGUUGGUGGGGUAAAGGCCUACCAAGGUGACGAUCCGUAACUGGUCUGAGAGGAUGAUCAGUCACACUGGAACUGAGACACGGUCCAGACUCCUACGGGAGGCAGCAGUGGGGAAUAUUGGACAAUGGGCGAAAGCCUGAUCCAGCCAUGCCGCGUGUGUGAAGAAGGUCUUCGGAUUGUAAGGCACUUUAAGUUGGGAGGAAGGGCAGUAAGUUAAUACCUUGCUGUUUUGACGUUACCGACAGAAUAAGCACCGGCUAACUUCGUG